ensembl:lncRNA
UGUGGAGGCUAUAUACAGGGGGUACAGGGAACAGAGUCAAUGUGGAGACUAUAUACAGGGGGUACCGGGAACAGAGUCAAUGUGGAGGCUAUAUACAGGGGGUACAGGGAACAGAGUCAAUGUGGAGGCUAUAUACAGGGGGUACCGGGAACAGAGUCAAUGUGGAGGCUAUAUACAGGGGGUACCGGUACAGAGUCAAUGUGGAGGCUAUAUACAGGGGGUACAGGGAACAGAGUCAAUGUGGAGGCUAUAUACAGGGGGUACCGGGAACAGAGUCAAUGUGGAGGCUAUAUACAGGGGGUACAGGGAACAGAGUCAAUGUGGAGGCUAUAUACAGGGGGUACCAGUACAGAGUCAAUGUGGAGGCUAUAUACAGGGGGUACAGGGAACAGAGUCAAUGUGGAGGCUAUAUACAGGGGGUACAGGGAACAGAGUCAAUGUGGAGGCUAUAUACAGGGG